rnacentral:lncRNA from 1 species
CUCCUCCUUGGGCUUCUACCAACGUUCCUGUAUCUACUGCUUAGCCUCUUCCUCGGGCCCGGGCCUGUCGUCCAGAAGUCCAGCGACAAGUACAUUCUCAGCUCGUUCCUCUACCCCACCUUUGCCUUAUCUCAUCGUUGUCACAGUCAUCGAGGGGAGCAUACCGAGCAGGCUUCCAGCCUCGGUGCCUUUGGUGUUCUUUGGUUUGAUGCUGCUCAUCGUACUACUUCUGGUUGUUCUGGUUGUCCAAGCUGAGCUUCGAUCACAUUCGAACGGUGCUGGUGUUGUCGAUCAACUCCGAAGCAUCCAGACACCACGAGUAAUUCCUACAUGCCCUACAACGUCGUCUUGGAUGGCCAUGUCUUCUCUGAUCUCGGUAAAGAUCAUACGAUCAAUCCAAGCUAUUUUC